GAUGAACGCUGGCGGCGUGCCUAAUACAUGCAAGUCGAGCGAACAGACGAGAAGCUUGCUCCUCUGAUGUUAGCGGCGGACGGGUGAGUAACACGUGGAUAACCUACCUAUAAGACUGGGAUAACUUCGGGAAACCGUAGCUAAUACCGUAUAAUAUUUUGAACCGCAUGGUUCAACAGUGAAAGACGGUCUUGCUGUCACUUAUAGAUGGAUCCGCGCUGCAUUAGCUAGUUGGUAAGGUAACGGCUUACCAAGGCAACGAUGCGUAGCCGACCUGAGAGGGUGAUCGGCCACACUGGAACUGAGACACGGUCCAGACUCCUACGGGAGGCAGCAGUAGGGAAUCUUCCGCAAUGGGCGAAAGCCUGACGGAGCAACGCCGCGUGAGUGAAGAAGGUCUUCGGAUCGUAAAACUCUGUUAUUAGGGAAGAACAAAUGUGUAAGUAACUAUGCACGUCUUGACGGUACCUAAUCAGAAAGCCACGGCUAACUACGUG
rnacentral:rRNA from 1 species